rnacentral:lncRNA from 1 species
UCCUAAUUCCAUGUGUCUCUAGUCAAAUUUUACCCCAUAUAGAAACAUCUUUUAAAUAGUCAUAGUUCUUAUUAUAGAGGAUAUCUCAAACAUUUUGUAUCCAUCAUUCCUCGUAACAAUGUUAUAGUUAUAAGUAAUCCACAUUUCACAAAACUUUGUAGCAUUUUGGAAAAUACAUUUGAGUCAUACCUGUUAAAUAUGUGUUGCUUGAAUCUGAACAUUAAUACCUUUUUAAGAUUAAUAGUUUAUAGACUUGAAUAAUCAAUAAAAAUCAAAGGUAUCAGUUUUCGAAAAAGAUAAUUAAAAAAAUAACAUAAAGGAGGUAUGUAUUGAAUCUCAAAGGUUCCAAAAGAAAUUACCUUUUUAAAAAUAGAUGAAGAAAAACUUGGUUCGAAUCUACAUUGAGGGGACGCUAGGCGAAGCCCUGGGGCAAUUUUUUCGGUGAAUUUUCUUGGCAAUUUGGGGGCUCCCUAUUGCACUAGGGCGACGACCCAGAAGUUGCUUUUUUCAUUUUUGACGUUUUUACCUUUUGGGUCUUGUAAGAACUCAUAUUGGUCUUACACCUUUGGAUUUGAUCUGGAUCAGUAUAUUCGGCUCUUAUUUAAUCUGCAAAGCUUAAUUAUGUUUCAUUUGAAUUUGAAUUCCGUCAAUUUCCCUCCUAUACAAUAAAAUAGACGGCAUACUUAUAAUUCACAUCAAAUAAGUUCAAAACGACAUCAAAAUAAGAACAAAUGUGAUGCGACUGAUAGUAUAAAUGCAUGAUUUUGACCCUUACAUUACCAGGAUUUGCUCUGAUAUCACUUGAUGGAUUUAAUCGAAUUCUAGUUUUUGGUUAGAAGAAUUGAGAAUUUUUAUUGUUAGUUUGGAAUGAAUUACAUGAAUUGUACUAUUACAAUGAUUAAGCUAAGAAACAAUCUCUAAAGGAGACCGCUUAGAAACAGUCAUCAAUGACAGAGUUAUCUGCGAUGAUAGAGAAUUGAGGUGAGGAAGAGAAAAGAGAAAAGAAU